UGAGUUGCUGCUGGUUCUCUGGGGAG
rnacentral:rRNA from 1 species